rnacentral:rRNA from 1 species
AUUGAACGCUGGCGGCAUGCCUUACACAUGCAGGUCGAACGGUAACAGGUCUUCGGAUGCUGACGAGUGGCGAACGGGUGAGUAAUACAUCGGAACGUGCCUAGUAGUGGGGGAUAACUACUCGAAAGAGUGGCUAAUACCGCAUGAGAUCUACGGAUGAAAGCAGGGGAUGGCAAGACCUUGUGCUACUAGAGCGGCCGAUGGCAGAUUAGGUAGUUGGUGGGAUAAAAGCUUACCAAGCCGACGAUCUGUAGCUGGUCUGAGAGGACGAUCAGCCACACUGGGACUGAGACACGGCCCAGACUCCUACGGGAGGCAGCAGUGGGGAAUUUUGGACAAUGGGCGAAAGCCUGAUCCAGCAAUGCCGCGUGCAGGAUGAAGGCCCUCGGGUUGUAAACUGCUUUUGUACGGAACGAAAAGCCCCGGGUUAAUACCCUGGGGUCAUGACGGUACCGUAAGAAUAAGCACCGGCUAACUACGUGCCAGCCGCCGCGGUAA